UUGACGGGACCCGCACAAGCAGCGGAGCGUGUGGUUUAAUUCGAUGCUACACGAAGAACCUUACCAGGGUUUGACAUGUUGGUGGUAGGAAUUCGAAAGAUGACCGACCCUUCGGGGAGCCUUCACAGGUGCUGCAUGGCUGUCGUCAGCUCGUGUCGUGAGAUGUUCGGUUAAGUCCGCUAACGAGCGCAACCCUCGCUGUGUGUUACAAGUGUCACACGGGACUGCCGGUAUCAAGCCGGAGGAAGGUGGGAUGACGUCAAGUCAGCAUGGCCUUUAUGUCCUGGGCUACACACACGCUACAAUGGUCGACACAAUAGGUAGCCAAGCCGCGAGGCGGAGCCAAUCCUUAAAGUCGGCCUCAGUUCAGAUUGUAGGCUGCAACCCGCCUGCAUGAAGAUGGAGUUGCUAGUAACCGCAGGUCAGCAAUACUGCGGUGAAUACGUUCCCGGGGUUU
rnacentral:rRNA from 1 species